rnacentral:rRNA from 1 species
GGCGAACGCUGGCGGCGUGCUUAACACAUGCAAGUCGAACGGUAAGGCCCUUCGGGGUACACGAGUGGCGAACGGGUGAGUAACACGUGGGUGAUCUGCCCUGCACUUCGGGAUAAGCCUGGGAAACUGGGUCUAAUACCGGAUAGGACCACUGCCUGCAUGGGUGGUGGUGGAAAGCUUUUGCGGUGUGGGAUGGGCCCGCGGCCUAUCAGCUUGUUGGUGGGGUGAUGGCCUACCAAGGCGACGACGGGUAGCCGGCCUGAGAGGGUGACCGGCCACACUGGGACUGAGAUACGACCCUGACUCCUACGGGAGGCAGCAGUGGGGAAUAUUGCACAAUGGGCGCAAGCCUGAUGCAGCGACGCCGCGUGAGGGAUGACGGCCUUCGGGUUGUAAACCUCUUUCAGCACCGACGAAGCGCAAGUGACGGUAGGUGCAGAAGAAGGACCGGCCAACUACGUGCCAGCCGCCGCGGUAA